CCCGGGAGAAUUACGGUGAGCCUGUCAUUAUUCAGGGAGGCUAGAUCCUCUGUAUUGAGAAGGAUCAUGAUGGGCUCCUCGGUGCUCUCCAGG
rnacentral:pre_miRNA from 12 species